rfam:Pterocles gutturalis contig74270, whole genome shotgun sequence.
CCCAAGGCUCUUUUAAGAGCCACCCACUUGAACUGGAAAAGAGCUG